UAAUGGCAUGUAGAGUACUCUCAACAGAAGUGAGAUGGAAACAUAGAAAACCUGCUUUUGGAUGCUGAUGUGAAAAUCAAAUUUUCAGACUUUGGCUUAAGUAGAAAAUUCACCUUUGGCAACAAAGCUGGAUACCUCCUGUGACAGUCUCCUGUGUUACCCCAAACUCUUCCAGAGCCAAAAGUAUGAUGGGUUUGAGACAGAUGUGUAGAGCUUGGGAGUCAUCAAAUAUACACUGUCAAUGAAGACAACAGCGGUGCUGAUAUGAGGACUGAAUGACACAAUGGCUGCAAAGCACCCAGCGAGAGUGAUCAGAAGGCAGAUACUCAGACUUCUUAUUCAGGACUCUGCACUUCCGAGUUAGCGCCAGAAUGAUUUCUCAUUUUUGUGAACAUGAAAAGGCCUGUUUUUUUAUCAUCCCCAUCCACACCUUUUCUUUCUGCCUCCUGUCCCUAAGGAUAGCAAUAAAACAUAUCUGGAAGCCCAAUUAGGCAAG